AUUGAACGCUGGCGGCAGGCCUAACACAUGCAAGUCGAGCGAGCGGCGGACGGGUGAGUAAUGUAUGGGGACUGCCCGAUAGAGGGGGAUAACUACUGGAAACGGUGGCUAAUACCGCAUACUAUCGGAUAACCCAUAUGGGAUUAGCUAGUAGGUGGGGUAAAUGCUCACCUCGGGGACGAUCUCUAGCUGGUCUGAGAGGAUGAUCAACUACACUGGAACUGAGACACGGCCCAGCCACCUACGCAGGCAGCAGUGGGGAAGAUUGCACAAUGGGCGAAAGCUUGAUGCAGCCAUGCCGCGUGUAUGAAGAAGGCCUUAGGGUUGUAAAGUACUUUCAGCGGGGAGGCUUUACCCGCAGAAGAAGCACCGGCUAACUCCGUGCCAGCAGCCGCGGUAAUAC
rnacentral:rRNA from 1 species